UACGUAGGGUGCGAGCGUUGUCCGGAAUUAUUGGGCGUAAAGAGCUCGUAGGCGGCUUGUCGCGUCGUCCGUGAAAACCUGCAGCUCAACUGCAGGCUUGCGGUCGAUACGGGCAGGCUGGAGUUCGGUAGGGGAGACUGGAAUUCCUGGUGUGAGCGGUGAAAUGCGCAGAUAUCAGGAGGAACACCGGUGGCGAAGGCAGGUCUCUGGGCCACUACUGACGCUGAGAAGCGAAAGCGUGGGGAGCGAACAGG
rnacentral:rRNA from 1 species